GACAGAGGGUGCAAACGUUGUUCGGAAUUACUGGGCGUAAAGCGCGUGUAGGCGGCCAUGCAAGUCGGAUGUGAAAGCCCUCGGCUCAACCGGGGAAGUGCACUCGAAACUGCAAGGCUAGAGUCUCGGAGAGGAUCGUGGAAUUCUCGGUGUAGAGGUGAAAUUCGUAGAUAUCGAGAGGAACACCGGUGGCGAAGGCGGCGAUCUGGACGGUUACUGACGCUGAGACGCGAAAGCGUGGGGAGCAAACAGG
rnacentral:rRNA from 1 species